UUUCAGAUCAGACACUUGGCAAGAAGGAAGCUGUCAUCUGCAUACUAGCCUCAGAAAUGCUAAAGCUGGAAUUUCAGACUUCACCGGGAUGACUUCAAUAUAAUUGAAUCCUUCUCCUGUAAUGCAUGAAACAGUCCAACAGAGCCCAUACUCCAGCAGUAAGAGCAGCAUGGCUGUAAUGCCAGUGUAACUCUGGUGCUGACAGUCACUUCUGAGUACUCUGGAUGAAAGCGGUUGCCAGACCCUGGAACCAUAUGAAAACACAAGCCAGAAGCUGCAGGCAAUGGGAGGAACUGCAGGAGAAUCCCCCAUCGCUGAGGUGAGUGGCAGUUUGCUAUCAACCCUCAGCCCCAGAUUUCCCACAUCAGACUUUUGCUAAUAUGCAGAUUUUUCACAACCUUGGUCUGUGCAUUACAAAUCACAGCAAAACGCAUUUCAGCUUCACAGAUGGUAGGUUUGGUCUUAGGCUGAGAGUACUACAAGUUGUCUUGGAAAUUUUAAAUCUGGGCUUGCUUUCAAGGGAAUCUGAAGUGUUUGUUCCAACAAACACAUCAAUUUUAUUAACUAGCCACACCUCCAAUAUUAAAACUCAACCCCAGUCUUUAUUCUGUGACAGAACGUGCCACUGUUGACAUUCUGAUUAAAUCCAAACAUCCUAGAGAUGUAAAAUGCAAACCAUAAGAAUACAGAGCUGUAGUAAUAGAUCUGUAGAGAGGUGAGGAAUUCAAAGCCACAAAUAUAACUUUUCUAAUUACAUAUUGCAAUAAAACUAUAUUUUCUAGAGAGAUUAUAUGCUUGCAGCUAUUUGUGACAUUACCAGUAGCACUGUAAUCUUUAAUUCAUAUUUACAAACCUGAUAUCCUUAUUCUCGGUGAUUCAGUAAAUUGCAAAAGUGUUGGUUUUGUUUUUUAAAAAGCUGUCUCAAUAAACCCUAAGAUAUAUUUUAAUUCUUUGUAGGCAAAUUGAAUAAUUCUCCAGUGAAAAUUUACUGCUUUGACAUGGAGAGGAAUGAGAAACAGAAGCUUCUCGUUGAAACUUUAUGUUAGAAAGCUGGACCUGCCUGAACUUAAAUAAUUACAUUACCUUUCUUGCUCUUGCUGUCUUACCAAGGAAAAUAGUUUCAAG